UACGUAGGGUGCAAGCGUUGUCCGGAAUUAUUGGGCGUAAAGAGCUCGUAGGCGGUUUGUCGCGUCUGCUGUGAAAACUGGGGGCUCAACCCCCAGCCUGCAGUGGGUACGGGCAGACUAGAGUGCGGUAGGGGAGAUUGGAAUUCCUGGUGUAGCGGUGGAAUGCGCAGAUAUCAGGAGGAACACCGGUGGCGAAGGCGGGGUCUCUGGGGCAACAACUGACGCUGAGGAGCGAAAAGCGUGGGGGAGCGAAACAGG
rnacentral:rRNA from 1 species